rnacentral:rRNA from 1 species
UACGAAGGGUGCAAACGUUGCUCGGAAUUAUUGGGCGUAAAGCGCACGUAGGCGGCUUGGCAAGUCGGAUGUGAAAUCCCUCGGCUCAACCAAGGAAGUGCAUCCGAAACUGCCGAGCUUGAGUACUUAAGAGGAUCGCGGAAUUCCCGGUGUAGAGGUGAAAUUCGUAGAUAUCGGGAGGAACACCAGUGGCGAAGGCGGCGAUCUGGGAAGAUACUGACGCUGAGGUGCGAAAGCGUGGGGAGCGAACAGG